CCAAUAGCGUAUAUUAAAGUUGUUGCAGUUAAAAAGCUCGUAGUUGAACUUCAGGCCUGUCCAGAUGGUCCGCCUUAAUUGGUGUGUACUGUCCUUGGGUGGGUCCUACCUUCUGGCGAAGCGGCAUGGCCUUAAUUGGUUGUGUUGGGGAACCAGGACUUUUACUGUGAAAAAAUUAGAGUGUUCAAAGCAGGCAUAUAUGCUCGAAUACAUUAGCAUGGAAUAAUGGAAUAGGACGAUGGUUCUAUUUUGUUGGUUCUAGGACCGUUGUAAUGAUUAAUAGGGAUAGUUGGGGGCAUUAGUAUUCAAUUGUCAGAGGUGAAAUUCUUGGAUUUAUUGAAGACUAACUACUGCGAAAGCAUUUGCCAAGGAUGUUUUCAUUAAUCAAGAACGAAAGUUAGGGGACCGAAGACGAUCAGAUACCGUCGUAGUCUUAACCAUAAACUAUGCCGACUAGGAAUCGGGCGAUGUUGACAAAAUGACUCGCUCGGCACCUCAUG
rnacentral:rRNA from 1 species